GGCGAUGGAAAGAAAACAUCAUCAUCAGACCCCGAGGUCACAACUGAAGACCCAGUGUGUGACCGGGCCACGGAACCGGCUCUGCUCCAACUCACAGAGGUUCCUCAGGACCAGCUCAUGGACACUGUGACUGAGGCUGAGGAGAAGACUCAGAAGCUUCUGGUGUCCAAUACUCAGCUGCAGGAGAGAGUGAGGGAGCUGGAGGAACUGCUCUGUGAGGCACGCAGAGAUGACAUGAAAAGCAAGGUCUCCCUGACUGAAGCGGUGGAGAAACACCAGAAGGCUGAGGAGACCAUCACUCAGCUGCAGAUGGAGAAGGCUGACCUGACCAACCAGAUGAAGAACGAUGAGAUGAAAAAGCGUCUGAUAGACGCAGAGGAGAUACUGAAGUUCUCCAUGACUGAGGCUGAGGAGUCCAUCACUCAGCUGCAGAUGGAGAAGGCUGACCUGACCAACCAGGUGGAGACACUGCAAGAGACAGUGCAGUACUUGGGGAACCUCCUCAAUGAGACUCACAGGUGCUCUGAUGAUCUAAUGAAUGAGUAUCAGAUGAAGAACGAUGAGACGGAGAAGCGUCUGAUAGACGCAGAGGAGAUACUGAAGGCCUCCCUGACUGAAGUGGAGAAGAAACACCAGAAGGCUGAGGAGACCAUCACUCUGCUGCAGGUGGAGAAGGCUGACCUGAAAGAUCAUGUGAAGACACUGCAAGGAAGAGUGCAGGACAUGGGGAACCUGCUCACUGAGACUGACAGAGAGUGUGACAUGCUAAUGAAUGAGUGUGAGUGUGAGCGAGAGGCUUACAGCAACCUCAAGUCCGAGUACGAGGAGAUGAAGGAGACUCUCAUCAACAAGGAGGAGAUACUGAAGGUCUCCCUGACUGAAGCGGAGGAGAAACACCAGAAGGCUGAGGAGACCAUCACUCUGCUGCAGGUGGAGAAGGCUGACCUGACCACCCAGGUGGAGACACUGCAAGAGACAGUGCAGGACUUGGAGACCCUGCUGUCUGAGACUCACAUCUGGGCUGCUGCUCUAAUGAAUGAGUAUCAGAUGAAGAACGAUGAGAUGAAAAAGCGUCUGAUAGACGCAGAGGAGAUACUGAAGGUCUCCCUGACUGAAGCGGUGGAGAAACACCAGAAGGCUGAGGAGACCAUCACUCAGCUGCAGAUGGAGAAGGCUGACCUGACCAACCAGGUGGAGACACUGCAAGAGACAGUGCAGUACUUGGGGAACCUCCUCAAUGAGACUCACGGGUGCUCUGAUGAUCUAAUGAAUGAGUGUGAGUGUGAGCGAGAGGCUUACAGCAACCUCAAGUCCGAGUACGAGGAGAUGAAGGAGACUCUCAUCAACAAGGAGGAGAUACUGAAGGCCUCCCUGACUGAAGUGGAGGAGAAACACCAGAAGGCUGAGGAGUCCAUCACUCUGCUGCAGGUGGAGAAGGCUGACCUGACCACCCAGGUGGAGAGACUGCGAGAGACAGUGCAGUACUUGGGGAACCUGUUCACUGAGGCUCAGAUGGAGUGUGAUGAGCUAAGAGAU
ensembl:lncRNA